UUAUUCUAUGGAUCGGAUAAUAAGGAAUUGCUUCAAAGGUUCACUGCACAAUUCAAAGAUGAAAUCAAAAUACCAAAAGGAUCUGUGAUUAACCUCUCAAGAGAGAAGGGCUAUGCUCUCCGCACAUCAAUUGAUGGACAGGAAGUGGGAAGCAUCCAGAGUAAACUCCUGUGUAAGUCAAUCUUAGAUUUAUAUUUGGAAGAGC